rnacentral:rRNA from 1 species
CCUACGGGAGGCUGCAGUGGGGAAUCUUGCGCAAUGGGCGAAAGCCUGACGCAGCAAUGCCGCGUGCGGGACGAAGGCCCUAGGGUCGUAAACCGCUUUCAGUAGGGACGAAAAUGACGGUACCUGCAGAAGAAGCUCCGGCCAACUACGUGCCAGCAGCCGCGGUGAUACGUAGGGAGCAAGCGUUGUCCGGAAUUACUGGGCGUAAAGGGCUCGUAGGUGGUUGAGUAAGUCAGAUGUGAAAUCUCAGGGCCCAACCCUGAGCGUGCAUUUGAUACUGCUCUGACUAGAGUCCGGUAGGGGAGUGCGGAAUUCCUGGUGUAGCGGUGAAAUGCGCAGAUAUCAGGAGGAACACCGACAGCGAAGGCAGCACUCUGGGCCGGUACUGACACUGAGGAGCGAAAGCAUGGGUAGCAAACAGGAUUAGAUACCCCGGUAGUC